UACGUAGGCAGCAAGCGUUGUUCGGAGUUACUGGGCGUAAAGGGUGUGUAGGCGGUUCUUUAAGUUUGCUGUGAAAUCUCCCGGCUUAACCGGGAGGGUGCGGUGAAUACUGAGGGACUAGAGUACGGGAGAGGAAAGUGGAAUUCCUGGUGUGGCGGUGAAAUGCGUAGAUAUCAGGAGGAACACCGGUGGCGAAGGCGGGACUCUGGGCAUGACCUGACGCUGAGGAGCGAAAGCAUGGGGAGCGAACAGG
rnacentral:rRNA from 1 species